AUUGAACGCUGGCGGCAUGCUUUACACAUGCAAGUCGAACGGUAACAGGGUGCUUGCACCGCUGACGAGUGGCGAACGGGUGAGUAAUGCGUCGGAACGUGCCGAGUAGUGGGGGAUAACGCAGCGAAAGUUGUGCUAAUACCGCAUACGUACUGAGGUAGAAAGUGGGGGACCUUCGGGCCUCACGCUAUUCGAGCGGCCGACGUCUGAUUGGCUAGUAGGUGAGGUAAAGGCUCACCUAGGCGACGAUCAGUAGCGGGUCUGAGAGGAUGAUCCGCCACACUGGGACUGAGACACGGCCCAGACUCCUACGGGAGGCAGCAGUGGGGAAUUUUGGACAAUGGGCGAAAGCCUGAUCCAGCCAUGCCGCGUGUCUGAAGAAGGCCUUCGGGUUGUAAAGGACUUUUGUCAGGGAGGAAAAGGCCCUGGUUAAUACCCGGGGCUCAUGACGGUACUGUAAGAAUAAGCACCGGCUAACUACGUGCCAGCCGCCGCCGUAA
rnacentral:rRNA from 1 species